AAAAAUUAAAAGAUGGACUGGAG
rnacentral:piRNA from 1 species